rnacentral:rRNA from 1 species
UACGGGGGGGGUAAGCGUUGUUCGGAAUUACUGGGCGUAAAGGGCUCGUAGGCGGCCAACUAAGUCAUACGUGAAAUCCCUCAGCUUAACUGGGGAACUGCGUGUGAUACUGGAUGGCUUGGAUUUGGGAGAGGGAUGCGGAAUUCCAGGUGUAGCGGUGAAAUGCGUAGGAUAUCUGGAGGAACACCGGUGGCGAAGGCGGCAUCCUGGGCCGAUACUGACGCUGAGGAGCGAAAGCGUGGGGAGCGAACAGG